rnacentral:siRNA from 1 species
CUGUUACAGCACUAUUGCGGUGCA